GACUCUUGGCAACGGAUAUCUCGGAUCUCGCAUCGAUGAAGAUCGUAGCAAAAUGCGAUACUUGGUGUGAACUGCAGAAUCCCGUGAACCAUUGAGUCUUUGAACGCAAGUUGUGCCCCAAGCCUUAUGGCCGAGGGCACGUCUGCCUGGGUGUCA
rnacentral:rRNA from 1 species